GGAGGUAUAGCUUAGUGGUAGAACUUGUGCUUGGCAUGCACAAGGUCCUGGGUUCAAUCCCCGGUGCCUCCA
rfam:Camelus ferus unplaced genomic scaffold scaffold2081, whole genome shotgun sequence.